GGUGAACGCUGGCGGCGUGCUUAAGACAUGCAAGUCGAACGGGCUCUUCGGAGCCAGUGGCGCACGGGUGAGUAACGCGUAACUGACCUACCCCAAAGUCGCGGAUAACGAUUCGAAAGAAUCGCUAAUACGUGAUGUGCUGUCAGAUCCUGUUCUGCCAGUAAAGAUUUAUUGCUUUGGGAUGGGGUUGCGUUCCAUCAGCUAGUUGGUGGGGUAAAGGCCCACUAAGGCGACGACGGAUCGCCGGCCUGCGAGGGUGGCCGGCCACAGGGGCACUGAGGCACGGGUCCCACUCCUACGGGAGGCAGCAGUUAGGAAUCUUCCACCAUGGGCGAAAGCCUGAUGGAGCGACGCCGCGUGAGGGAUGAAGGUCUUCGGAUCGUAAACCUCUGAAUCAGGGACGAAAGACGCGAAAGCGGGAUGACGGUACCUGAGUAAUAGCACCGGCUAACUCCGUG
rnacentral:rRNA from 1 species